rnacentral:rRNA from 1 species
CAGUAGCCGCGGUAAUACGAAGGGUGCAAGCGUUAAUCGGAAUUACUGGGCGUAAAGCGUGCGUAGGCGGUUGUGUAAGACAGGUGUGAAAUCCCCGGGCUUAACCUGGGAGCUGCGCUUGUGACUGCACAGCUAGAGUAUGGCAGAGGGGGGUGGAAUUCCACGUGUAGCAGUGAAAUGCGUAGAGAUGUGGAGGAACACCGAUGGCGAAGGCAGCCCCCUGGGCCAAUACUGACGCUCAUGCACGAAAGCGUGGGGAGCAAACAGGAUUAGAGACCCCUGUAGUCCCUGUCUCUUAUAC